GGUUAAGCGACUAAGCGUACACGGUGGAUGCCCUGGCAGUCAGAGGCGAUGAAGGACGUGCUAAUCUGCGAAAAGCGUCGGUAAGGUGAUAUGAACCGUUAUAACCGGCGAUGUCCGAAUGGGGAAACCCAGUGCAAUUCGUUGCACUAUCGUUAACUGAAUACAUAGGUUAACGAGGCGAACCGGGGGAACUGAAACAUCUAAGUACCCCGAGGAAAAGAAAUCAACCGAGAUUCCCCCAGUAGCGGCGAGCGAACGGGGAGCAGCCCAGAGUCUGAAUCAGCUUGUGUGUUAGUGGAACGGUCUGGAAAGUCCGACGGUACAGGGUGAUAGUCCCGUACACCAAAAUGCACAGGCUGUGAACUCGAAGAGUAGGGCGGGACACGUGGUAUCCUGUCUGAAUAUGGGGGGACCAUCCUCCAAGGCUAAAUACUCCUGACUGACCGAUAGUGAACCAGUACCGUGAGGGAAAGGCGAAAAGAACCCCGGCGAGGGGAGUGAAAAAGAACCUGAAACCGUGUACGUACAAGCAGUGGGAGCACCUUCGGGUGUGACUGCGUACCUUUUGUAUAAUGGGUCAGCGACUUAUAUUCUGUAGCAAGGUUAACCGUAUAGGGGAGCCGCAGGGAAACCGAGUCUUAACUGGGCGUUAAGUUGCAGGGUAUAGACCCGAAACCCGGUGAUCUAGCCAUGGGCAGGUUGAAGGUUGGGUAACACUAACUGGAGGACCGAACCGACUAAUGUUGAAAAAUUAGCGGAUGACUUGUGGCUGGGGGUGAAAGGCCAAUCAAACCGGGAGAUAGCUGGUUCUCCCCGAAAGCUAUUUAGGUAGCGCCUCGUGAACUCAUCUUCGGGGGUAGAGCACUGUUUCGGCUAGGGGGUCAUCCCGACUUACCAACCCGAUGCAAACUACGAAUACCGAAGAAUGUUAUCACGGGAGACACACGGCGGGUGCUAACGUCCGUCGUGAAGAGGGAAACAACCCAGACCGCCAGCUAAGGUCCCAAAGUCAUGGUUAAGUGGGAAACGAUGUGGGAAGGCACAGACAGCCAGGAUGUUGGCUUAGAAGCAGCCAUCAUUUAAAGAAAGCGUAAUAGCUCACUGGUCGAGUCGGCCUGCGCGGAAGAUGUAACGGGGCUAAACCAUGCACCGAAGCUGCGGCAGCGACACUAUGUGUUGUUGGGUAGGGGAGCGUUCUGUAAGCCUGCGAAGGUGUGCUGUGAGGCAUGCUGGAGGUAUCAGAAGUGCGAAUGCUGACAUAAGUAACGAUAAAGCGGGUGAAAAGCCCGCUCGCCGGAAGACCAAGGGUUCCUGUCCAACGUUAAUCGGGGCAGGGUGAGUCGACCCCUAAGGCGAGGCCGAAAGGCGUAGUCGAUGGGAAACAGGUUAAUAUUCCUGUACUUGGUGUUACUGCGAAGGGGGGACGGAGAAGGCUAUGUUAGCCGGGCGACGGUUGUCCCGGUUUAAGCAUGUAGGCUGGUUAUCCAGGCAAAUCCGGAUAAUCAAGGCUGAGGUGUGAUGACGAGGCACUACGGUGCUGAAGUAACAAAUGCCCUGCUUCCAGGAAAAGCCUCUAAGCAUCAGGUAACAUCAAAUCGUACCCCAAACCGACACAGGUGGUCAGGUAGAGAAUACCAAGGCGCUUGAGAGAACUCGGGUGAAGGAACUAGGCAAAAUGGUGCCGUAACUUCGGGAGAAGGCACGCUGGUGUGUAGGUGAAGUCCCUGCGGAUGGAGCUGAGACCAGUCGAAGAUACCAGCUGGCUGCAACUGUUUAUUAAAAACACAGCACUGUGCAAACACGAAAGUGGACGUAUACGGUGUGACGCCUGCCCGGUGCCGGAAGGUUAAUUGAUGGGGUUAUCCGUAAGGAGAAGCUCUUGAUCGAAGCCCCGGUAAACGGCGGCCGUAACUAUAACGGUCCUAAGGUAGCGAAAUUCCUUGUCGGGUA
rnacentral:rRNA from 1 species